UACAGAGGUCCCAAGCGUUGUUCGGAUUCACUGGGCGUAAAGGGUGCGUAGGCGGCGAGGUAAGUUUGAUGUGAAAUCUCCGGGCUUAACCCGGAAAUGGCAUUGAAUACUCUCUCGCUAGAGGGUUGGAGGGGGGACUGGAAUUCUCGGUGUAGCAGUGAAAUGCGUAGAUAUCGAGAGGAACACCAGUGGCGAAGGCGAGUCCCUGGACAACUCCUGACACUGAGGCACGAAAGCUAGGGGAGCAAACAGG
rnacentral:rRNA from 1 species